AGACUUCAAGGGCUGCAGCACGGCGAGGAAAGGAAGGGUGGGGUUUUCCGUGUUACGGGUAAUGACUAUGCAGCUUUCUGGGAAUGCGUAUUUUGGGAAAAACACUGACACUAUUAAAAAAAAAAAAAAGGUGAGAUUAUGACACAGAAAGAAAUGACCUUUACCAGGAGGAAGUAGAAAGAAAAAAAGAGGAAGUGACUAGAGCAAAGGAAGACAAAAGGAAAUUUGGCACAACAGGAAUCAGAAUCAAGAUCCUAUACACCCAUUGCAAUGCCUGGCAUGUAAUUUUCAGAGAACUGUUUCAAACCAAGAGCAAUAACAGCACCUGCCAACUGCCGAUCAUUGGCACUUUGCAGACAUUAUC
rnacentral:lncRNA from 1 species